AUUGAACGCUGGCGGCAUGCUUUACACAUGCAAGUCGAACGGCAGCGCGGGCUUCGGCCUGGCGGCGAGUGGCGAACGGGUGAGUAAUGCAUCGGAACGUGCCCAGUAGUGGGGGAUAGCCCGGCGAAAGCCGGAUUAAUACCGCAUACGACCUGAGGGUGAAAGCGGGGGACCGAAAGGCCUCGCGCUAUUGGAGCGGCCGAUGUCGGAUUAGCUAGUUGGUGGGGUAAAGGCUUACCAAGGCGACGAUCCGUAGCUGGUCUGAGAGGACGACCAGCCACACUGGGACUGAGACACGGCCCAGACUCCUACGGGAGGCAGCAGUGGGGAAUGUUGGACAAUGGGGGCAACCCUGAUCCAGCCAUGCCGCGUGCGGGAAGAAGGCCUUCGGGUUGUAAACCGCUUUUGUUCGGGAAGAAAUCCUCUGGGCCAAUACCCCGGGGGGAUGACGGUACCGGAAGAAUAAGCACCGGCUAACUACGUG
rnacentral:rRNA from 1 species